rnacentral:rRNA from 1 species
AGUGGCGGACGGGUGAGUAACACGUGAGAAUUUACCUUUAGGAGGGGGAUAACAAUCGGAAACGAAUGCUAAUACCCCAUAUGCUUUUGAGUGAAAUGGAUUUAUUCGCCUAAAGAGAAGCUCGCGGCUGAUUAGCUUGUUGGUGAGGUAAAAGCUUACCAAGGCGACGAUCAGUAUCUGGUUUGAGAGGACGAUCAGACACACUGGAACUGAGACACGGUCCAGACUCCUACGGGAGGCAGCAGUGGGGAAUUUUCCGCAAUGGGCGAAAGCCUGACGGAGCAAUACCGCGUGAGGGAAGACUGCCUAUGGGUUGUAAACCUCUUUUUUCAGGGAGGAAAAAAAUGACGUGUACCUGAAGAAUAAGCAUCGGCUAACUCCGUGCCAGCAGCCGCGGUAAGACGGAGGAUGCAAGUGUUAUCCGGAAUCACUGGGCGUAAAGCGUCUGUAGGUGGUUUAAUAAGUCAACUGUUAAAUCCUGAGGCUCAACUUCAAAAUCGCAGUCGAAACUAUUAGACUCGAGUAUAGUAGAGGUAAAGGGAAUUUCCAGUGGAGCGGUGAAAUGCGUAGAUAUUGGAAAGAACACCGAUGGCGAAGGCACUUUACUGGGCUAUUACUAACACUCAGAGACGAAAGCUAGGGUAGCAAAUGGGAUUAGAUACCCCAGUAGUCCUAGCUGUAAACUAUGGAUACUAGA